UCUGUAGCGGGAUUUCAUUUAAUAAUUGGUGGAAAAAUAUGUCUAUAAACAUGAUCCAUGAAAUUUUAUAAGUGUCUUUUUACGAUUGAAGGGUGUUUGAAAUAAUUUGGCUUCAUUUCCCAAUAAUUAUUUAACAAGACUUUCUGGAUUUGUUAUUUGCCAUAAAUUGUAAAAUUGUGCCUGUUGUGAUGUUGUGAUGUUCAGACAAUUUAAUGUUACCUGAUAAACUAAGGUUAAUACUGAAACUUGCAUUUUCUGGUGCCUGAAUUUGAUUGACAUUCACAUAUUCUGAUCAUGCUUAUAAUUACCAUGUAGCUCAUAAUUAUAUACUUCUGGCUUUCAACGACACAACGACAUAAAGUUUACUCCUUUAAUUGAUAGAAAGAGGCAGUGAGGGGAAGAGUGCCUGUCAAGCUUUUCAUGUGUUUUGAGUCUCUGGAUACACAAAGAACAAAUUUUCUACAGUGGAUGUGUGAUUUGUGCAUGUAGAAUCACUUUUCUUUUCCCGUGUUUGUAGUUGUUUUCUUAAUCAAGCAAAUACAGUUGUUGCGGAGCAAUGUGGUCUUAAUAUCUAGCUGUAAUGCCCAUUAAACUGAAAAUUACCGUUUAGUCACUUUGUCAACCCAAUGAGGGGAUGUUGUCCUUCUGUAUGCAUCAAAAUAUCUUGAUAUAUACCUGUUGUUGUAAAUCUUUCUGGUUGUUAUGAUCUCAAAAGAGGAACCGAGGAAUGAAUAUUUUGGUAAAGAUAUCUUGGAAAACCUUAAGAAGGACAGAUACAUAGAUGUUAAAACUGAGACAGUGAUGCAGAUAGACGUGAGGUGCUGGCUGGGAGGGCCGAGAGCCUUCUCAUCUGCUUGAAACUGAGGUUCUCUGGCCUGCCUCAAACCACACUAGACAUAUGCAAGAUCCAAUGCAACAAGGAUGUGGGAAAAUCUAUAUUGGAGAGCUAUUCAAGAGUUCUUGAGAGCCUAGCAUUCAACAUUGUGGCACGUAUAGAUGAUCUGAUGUCUGUGGACGACUUGUCUUAAACAUUCGGAUCAGCUCAUCUCCAUGUCCAAAGUUGGUGUGCUCACUCACAAGAUUUUCGGGUAUAAGGCCACCUUUGCAGCUCGGAGCUUCUCACCUUCGCCGCUCAUCAGCACCCAUGCAAAGGGGAAGAGAGCGGCGCCAUACAAGGAUAACUGCAACCUCCCGCUUGGUGGAUUUGGGGUGAAGAAGAUCUUGACAGAUUAUUUGAGCAUAGAUGGGAAAAGGGAAGAAGAUGAUGAGAAGCAGCAUGGAGAGAUCGGAUUCGUUUCCGAGCACCCUACGAGAGAAUUCUACAGUGCAGUCUCUACUGUCGUUCGCCGUUCACCGUUCGCUCAUCAAACUUUGAGGGAGACUCAGCUGCCAUAUUUGAUAGGAUCGUUAUGUUAUUUUUCAGACUUUGAGAGAAUGGAUGUAUUUCUCGAUAACUGAGAGAAAAAGAAAGAUGAGACAGAGGGAGACCGUGAAAGAGAUCUUAAUUUUAAGAGAAAAUACCUUUUAUGUUAGGCUCUAUUUAGUUUAGACCCUAAAUUAAAUUUUUUAAUUGGCCCAUAGUGAAUAAAGAGAGAAAAACGAAAGUGCAUUUAUUUUAAUAAAA